rnacentral:snRNA from 1 species
AUGCUUGCUUCAGCAACACAUAUACUAAAACUGGAACAAUCCAGAUAUUAGCUUGGCUCCUGAGCAAAAAGUACCCAAAUUCAGGAGGUGUUCCAUACUCAA